AGAGUUUGAUCCUGGCUCAGGACGAACGCUGGCGGCGUGCUUAACACAUGCAAGUCGAACGGCGCUCAACCAGUGGCAACACUGGGGAAAGUGCAGUGGCGAACGGGUGAGUAACACGUGAGCAACCUGCCUCGAAGACUGGGAUAACAGCGGGAAACCGCUGCUAAUACCGGAUAUCCCCAUCGGGCCGCAUGACCUGAUGAGGAAACGAAUUUCGCUUCGAGAGGGGCUCGCGGGCUAUCAGCUUGUUGGUGGGGUAACGGCCCACCAAGGCUACGACGGCUAGCUGGUCUGAGAGGACGACCAGCCACACUGGGACUGAGACACGGCCCAGACUCCUACGGGAGGCAGCAGUGGGGAAUCUUGCGCAAUGGGCGAAAGCCUGACGCAGCAACGCCGCGUGCGGGAUGACGGUCUUCGGGUUGUAAAUCGCUUUCAGCAGGGACGAAAUUGACGGUAUCUGCAGAAGAAGCCCCGGCCAACUACGUGCCAGCAGCCGCGGUAAUACGUAGGGGGCGAGCGUUGUCCGGAUUCAUUGGGCGUAAAGCGCUUUAAGGCGGUUCGCUAAGUCGCGUGUGAAAACUCCAGGCUCAACCUGGAGACGCCACGCGAUACUGGCGUGACUAGAGUUCGGUAGGGGAUCACGGAAUUCCUGGUGUAGCGGUGAAAUGCGCAGAUAUCAGGAGGAACACCGGUGGCGAAGGCGGUGAUCUGGGCCGACACUGACGCUGUAGAGCGAAAGCGUGGGGAGCGAACAGGAUUAGAUACCCUAGUAGUCC
rnacentral:rRNA from 1 species